GUGCACGCUGGCGGUAGGCCUAACCCAUGCAAGUCGAACGGCGGCACCGUAAGAGCUUGCUCUUACGGGUGGCGAGUGGCGGACGGGUGAGGAAUACAUCGGAAUCUACUUUUUCGUGGGGGAUAACGUAGGGAAACUUACGCUAAUACCGCAUACGACCUACGGGUGAAAGCAGGGGAUCUUCGGACCUUGCGCGAUUGAAUGAGCCGAUGUCGGAUUAGCUAGUUGGCGGGGUAAAGGCCCACCAAGGCGACGAUCCGUAGCUGGUCUGAGAGGAUGAUCAGCCACACUGGAACUGAGACACGGUCCAGACUCCUACGGGAGGCAGCAGUGGGGAAUAUUGGACAAUGGGCGCAAGCCUGAUCCAGCCAUACCGCGUGGGUGAAGAAGGCCUUCGGGUUGUAAAGCCCUUUUGUUGGGAAAGAAAAGCAGCAGGUUAAUACCCCGCUGUUCUGACGGUACCCAAAGAAUAAGCACCGGCUAACUUCGUG
rnacentral:rRNA from 1 species